CCGCAAACCACUGACUCAGUACAUAACACUACGACUAUGUAGGCCUAGCUCUAACAUGAAACAAACACGGCACCUAAUGCGCCACACAUAACAACCAAUGCGCUUAUAGUACAUAGCUAUUCGUUGCACCCCGCAUUCUCCUUUUACGGAUAUAGAUAUAUAAAUUUUUAUGUAUACCAAAAGUAUGUGUAGUACAGAAGUGCUUCCCUGUACUCCCACAUUCUCCUCAUACACAAUGCUACGUAGUAUAGAAGUGCUUCCCCAUACUCCCGCAGCUCAUGCGUGGUACAGAAGUGCUUCCCUGUACGCCCCACAAUCUCCACACAAACAAUUGCCACGUAGUACAGAAGUUCUUCCCUGUACUCCCGCAGCUCAUACGUAGUACAGAAGUGCUUCCCUGUACACCCCGUAAUCUCCACACAAAUAGGCCGAUACAGAAGUACUUCCCUGUAUCCGGCUAACCAAUCCAUACUAUAUGUAUA
rnacentral:lncRNA from 1 species